GUGGUUUGACGGAGACUUUGUUUCCUUUAUUGUUUCAGAAAUUUUAUUCAGCUCCUAGUCAAUGAUUUUUCUAUUCUUGUUGUUUUUCAGUACUACUGAGGGAACUUCUAUAAAAUGCUCACCUCUAGACCGCACCCCUCAUUGACUAAGUUCAAAUCCAGAGAAGCGGAAUUGUACAAGCGUUGUACAAGCGCUGGCUUAGAGAACCGUAUAUAAAAACCUCCUCGAAUGUCAUUUCAGAAGGACUUAUUCCCGCACACUGGAAUUCCUGUUUUCUCUCUGGCUGGUUGGCCACCUUCAUUUUGGAUUUCAUAAACUUAAUUUCCAUACUGAGCCUCAGCUUCCCUUUUAAGCUAACACACAAAAAGAAAAGGAGAGAACACAUUUUCACAGAACUAAAUGAAUAUGUUCGCUGAGUGCUGAGAAUUAGCCAUAGCUACUUAGUCACUGGACCUGUCACAGCCAAGGAAAGUGAGCCUGCAUGUCCUCAGGCAGUCAUAGACUUGGGCCUUCAAAGAACCAAUAAAAAUACUUACUUUUGUUGAAAGUCAUUUUACUUAUCAUCUGUUCCUGUCCCUCAGAUUCCAAGCAAUGAAUGUGAAUUACAAUAUAUUUACAGAAAGGGAACACAGAUUCUUUGAAAGGAAGGAACAGAAGUCACCCGGGACAUUUGGGCCCCUGAGAUUCUGCUUUAUUUCUCAUUAGGCUGGUUACCAAC
rnacentral:lncRNA from 1 species